rnacentral:rRNA from 1 species
GCUGACGAGUGGCGGACGGGUGAGUAAUGUCUGGGAAACUGCCUGAUGGAGGGGGAUAACUACUGGAAACGGUAGCUAAUACCGCAUAACGUCGCAAGACCAAAGAGGGGGACCUUCGGGCCUCUUGCCAUCGGAUGUGCCCAGAUGGGAUUAGCUAGUAGGUGGGGUAACGGCUCACCUAGGCGACGAUCCCUAGCUGGUCUGAGAGGAUGACCAGCCACACUGGAACUGAGACACGGUCCAGACUCCUACGGGAGGCAGCAGUGGGGAAUAUUGCACAAUGGGCGCAAGCCUGAUGCAGCCAUGCCGCGUGUAUGAAGAAGGCCUUCGGGUUGUAAAGUACUUUCAGCGGGGAGGAAGGGAGUAAAGUUAAUACCUUUGC